rnacentral:hammerhead_ribozyme from 1 species
GCACUACUGAGGAGUCCGACAAUAGGACGAAACUGUUGUCCAGUGC